rnacentral:lncRNA from 1 species
GUCAUCCCGGCCCUCUGGGAGGCUGAGGCAGGAGGGUCACAAGGCGAUGUAGUGACUUAGGAAGAGGAGAUAAAACAAGGCUGAGGCUGCAGCUGAGGGCAAAGGCCAUGGGUUCGAUGCCGAGUGCCGCGCAUGCGCGCAACACACACACACGGAAACAGAAGCUGUGGAACAAGCGGCGAGGCAUAGACCUGCACGGCGGCCGGCGAUGGCUGGGUCGCAGGACCGAGCAGCGUCGUGGUCACGUGCGGCUUCGCGGCUGUCAUUUCUACCAUUUCCUCUCCCUUUGCCCAGAAACCCGAGAACCGGGCAGCAGAGGCCCCGGGAGAGCGCGGGCCCCGGGCAAAGAUUCGGCCCUCGCGGGGAGAAGGACGCGGCUGCUCCACGCAGGCUCCUGGCUCGGCCUCCCCGCCCCUGGUUCCACGGACGGCCUUUCCCGCCUCUGCGGGGGACCUGAGGCAAGUGGGCCCUCCGUGUCCUCGGGGCCAGCCUUGAGUAAGCCCUUUGUCCUUUUUGCUCAGAUAGGUGGCCUCCGGCCUGGUCAGUGGCGAGCAGAGAAACCUGAGAACGUCCGCCUAAUCAGCCAGCCACAGUGGCGCACGCCCAUGACACCAGCACGCAAGAGGCUGAGGCGGGAGAAUCACCACGAGUUGGAGGCCAGCCUGGGCUACAUAGCAAGACCGCGUCAACAACAAAAAGAAGAAGAUGGACCUCAGGGUCCCCGCACUCCCUGUCCACCGCAGCUGAGACCUGAGGGCAGCCAGGCGUCCAGCGCGGGCGGGCGGGGAGGAGACGCCGGGCGCAGGCCGGGUGGCUGGGCUGCCCGGAAGUGAAGGGGCGGAGCCACAGCCGGGCACUUCCGGCUGCAGCGGGUCACAGUACCGUGCCAGGCGCUCAGCCCCUGCCGCAGUGGUCUCAAUACAAGGAGACACCCUGAGCAAGGGCAGAGGGCAGGGGGCUGAGGGGAAGAUGCGGAGGGGAAGGCUGCACUAUGGAGGCGGAGUCAGCAGGGCCAGUGCCCCCGGCCUGUGAAGCAGCAGGUGAAAGGGCCAGGCGUCAGGACGUCGCCCGAUGUCCUCUCUCCUCCUCCUGCCCCUAGGAAGGCGGGCGGGGAGAGCUCAGGCCCGGGCAGAGGCCGUGCUGGCGCCUGUGUACUGCAGGAACAGACAGGCAGUCCUCACGUGGCACACGGAGGGCACAGCAGGGGCUGUGAGGGGCACGCGUGGCACACAGUCGGCACAGUGGACACCUGCCAGCACCUCCCGCUUCUCAGCGGGCACCUGCAGCCCGGGAUCAGCAUGGCCUGAGGAGAUGGUGAAGCCCCUGCCUGGCACCAGGACACAGCCCGGGAGACAACUGGCAGCUGCUCAACCCUCAGGGGCCCGCAGAGCAGCCUUGCUCCCAUUCCUGCCUCCUGUCCAUCCUUCCUGAGCUUUGCGGUGAAGCCCGGGGGCAGAGGCCUCAGCCUAUGCCUCCCUGGGCGGCUAUGGCCCGCACACCGUCCUCCCUGCCUUUGGCCCUUGUCCCUGCUCUGGCUAAGGCACCCGGCAGAAUGCCGCCGCCACGCCUCGCCCUGGAGGUGGCCUUGCACCCGUAGAAGCAGGGUUCCUACUGUGAAGCUGGUCCCAUGAACUUGCUGCCUGCCCAGUUCUCCUCCUCUUCCUGUAGCUCCUUUGGGCUUUUCUCCUGGACAGCGCUGGCCAGGAGGACUCGGUGGCCCGACCCUCCUCCCCAGGCGGUGCGCCCCUGGGUCUUCUCCUUUCCCUGCUGUGCUGGCCAGGAGCGCGGAUCCCAAAGACCCUGGCUGAGGCUGCCACAGACCGCAGAGGGCACAGCAGGUGUCUUCCUGGUCCCAGCGUGCCACCCUCUCCACGGGCCCAGGCCAGCUGGACGGAGCCGUCAGCUGGAGAAGGAACAGUUGCUGAGCAGAUGGCAGCCGUCACUCCUCCCCGUGUCUGCACCGUUGGAGCCCAAGGCGCCCACUGCUUCCAGGUGUCCUGACCCCCACACCUGUGUGACCCAGACGGGCAGCACCACAGUCACCUCAGACCCCUCUCAGCAAGGAAUGUGAAUGACCCUGUUUCCGGAGAGGCUGGCUGAAUGCUCCUUCUGUAGUCCCUGGGGCCGAGCCUGUGGGAGAACAGUUCCGCUGGACUCUUGUCACUGCGGCAGGGACUGCGAGACUCCAACAGUGGGUCCCCUGGCUCCCCUGGGUGGCUCAGACCCAGCCUGUGGCCUGCAGCUCCACCAGACAGCAGCUACUGCUGCUGCUAAGUGUUCUUUCAUUGUCAAGUUAAUUUCUCUGUUUUCCUUUCUUACGUAUUUCAUGGGAUAUUUUUUUAAAAUAAAAAAAUAAAGUCCAUUCCUUUGUUGAAUCUGUGUUUCUGAGGAACAUUUUCUGCUCUCGCUCUGCC